UCGCUGCCGCCGUCGAAUAUAUCCACCUCCCCUCCGUCGAGUUUCCCGGCCGGCCGUCGAGAAUGGCUACACAGAUGGUCACCGCUCUGUUCAGCUCACCCUACGCCCUCACCGUCCUCGCCUUCCUCGUCGCCUUCACGUUCCUCGUCUCCUCGAGGGGCAGCCGCAGUAAUGCUGCCAGGAAGGGCGAGCUGCGGCUGCCUCCACGCCGCCGGGCCUGCCGGUCGUCGGCCNCCUCCACCUGCURG
rnacentral:lncRNA from 1 species